rnacentral:lncRNA from 1 species
AUAAAUCGAGUAUUCAACAUGGCUUAUGAAUUUCUUAAAACUUUGGCUCGUGCCAAAAUCAUUCUCAUACUCAGUUAUCAGGAAUACCUUGGUCGAGGGCUAUCCCAACCGAGUCCACCAAGGCUGUUAAAAAGUUAUGUACACAUAAAUCAUGUUUUUAUUUUGAAAACAUAGUCAUUCCUUGGCAUUGGCUGAGUUCACCCUCACGUGGUGGUUUGGUGUGAAGUGAACUCUAAAGUGUUAACCUCAGGAGCUAUCCAUCCGCGCCUCUCAUACUGAGGUAUGAAUAUAAUAGGGUUACCAUGCCCCCUCUAAUAGGCUGGUCCACGGAACCCGUCCACUGCAGCGACUAAUCAAUCACCCACCAAUGUAAUAAAAUUUAACAGCAUGACAUGAAAAUUUUAUCAUUAUCCAGCCUAUCAAGGCAAACAACAGUUUAUACAUUUUCAACACAAAUACCAAUUCAGCCAUUCAUGCCAAUAUUGCUAUAAGCCAAUAAAUUAGAACCAUAAAUUCACAAUACAUCAAAUGGUCUCCAAUUACUCUAUUUUCAAAGCCAUCAUUCAAUUUCAAGACAAUUUAUAAAAUCAUUUCAUUUAAACACAUUUUGUUUAUAAAACAUAAAGAUUUACCAUUUAAACUCAUUUUUCUAUCAAAUCACAAAAACAAUUAAAAACUAAUUUAGAUAAUUAAGACGAUAGUAAGGUUACUCACUAUAAUGGGAAUCGAAUUCCAAGUACUCCGAUUCUUGAUCUUCGGGUGCUAUCUCUUUACUUUUGUCAGAAUGCUCACCACUUAGACAUAAUGCACAAUAAGCCAUUUACU